GUAACAUUGUCUUCGGACAGAUGACGACCGGCGCACGGGUGAGUAACGCGUAUGCAACCUGCCUUUGACAGAGGAAUAGCCCGGAGAAAUCCGGAUUAAUACCUCAUGGUAUUUAAGACUCGCAUGGGUUUUAAAUUAAAGAUUUAUCGGUCAAAGAUGGGCAUGCGUGACAUUAGCUAGUUGGUAAGGUAACGGCUUACCAAGGCUACGAUGUCUAGGGGUUCUGAGAGGAUGAUCCCCCACACUGGUACUGAGACACGGACCAGACUCCUACGGGAGGCAGCAGUGAGGAAUAUUGGUCAAUGGGCGCAAGCCUGAACCAGCCAUCCCGCGUGAAGGAAGACGGCCCUAUGGGUUGUAAACUUCUUUUCUGCACCAAGAAUGGACAUUACGUGUAGUGUUUUGACGGUAGUGCAGGAAUAAGCAUCGGCUAACUCCGUGCCAGCAGCCGCGGUAAUACGGAGGAUGCAAGCGUUAUCCGGAUUUAUUGGGUUUAAAGGGUACGUAGGUGGCCUUGUAAGUCAGUGGUGAAAUCCUGCCGCUUAACGGUAGAACUGCCAUUGAUACUGCAGGGCUUGAGUACAGUUGAGGUAGGCGGAAUGUGUAGUGUAGCGGUGAAAUGCUUAGAUAUUACACAGAACCCCGAUUGCGAAGGCAGCUUACUAAACUGUAACUGACACUGAGGUACGAAAGCGUGGGGAGCGAACAGGAUUAGAUACCCUGGUAGUCCACGCCGUAAACGAUGCUCACUCGCUGUAUGCGAUACACAGUAUGCGGCCAAGCGAAAGUCUUAAGUGAGCCACCUGGGGAGUACGUUGGCAACAGUGAAACUCAAAGGAAUUGACGG
rnacentral:rRNA from 1 species